CGUUGAAACACCGGUUCACGUACCAUCACCGCAGUUAAGCAAUGCCGAACCUGGUCAGUACCUGGAUGGUUGACCGCUUGGGAAUACCAGGUGUUGUAAG